AGAAUAGAAUAAAUAUAGCUUUAUAUCAUUCAAAUUUUUUCGUUACUACAUCAUUUAAAAGUUAAAUAUUGUUACUACGUCAUUCGGAAAUACAAUACUUAUAACACUAACAUUACUCGUUUUCAUUAUCCUCCUCCUUCUCUUCCUCAUCAGUUGGUGGGCUAUCCUCGGUCGGAUUUUUUCCUUUGGAAGCCCCCAUGAUCCGAAAGCUCCAGAUUAGAUCCUCCUAAUCCAAGAACUCGAUGUGUGCUCGAUUUCUUCGGAAUAACUCCUGCACAAGAUCAAUAACUAUCAAAACCCCAAAACAUUCAAAUCUUGAAGAACCCCAAUUCGAAAAACCCUAAUUUACUUUUAGCUCGAACAUCCUCAAUUCAAAUAACCCUAAUCCGCUCUUAACACUAAACUCUAAACAUUACAAGUUGUUAAACCCAGAACAUUAAUCAAACCCCCCAAUUUAUGACCUAAAUUAAAAAACCUCAAUUCUUUAACAUAUUGACCUAAUUUGAAUCAUACUCACUUGUUUGAGUUGGGAAUCGAUUGAAGGAGAUGAUGGAGAGGACGACAGCGACCGGUGGCGGCCGACGGCACGGUGGAGUCGACUCGGUAGAGCGGCAAUGGAGAAGAAGAGGAGAAGAAAGAAAAUGAAGAAGAAAAGGGUUGUUGAGGCUGAUAAACC
rnacentral:lncRNA from 1 species